AACGCUUAAACGAAUGAAUUAAUCAAUUUAAACAAGACAUAGUUUUUAUAAUUGAGUCUUUACUCAAAUACAAACUAUUUGCAUCACGUUAUUUGACCAGAAUAAUUCAAGAAGAUCAUGACAUUAUUGUUAUUGAAAGGUGUUGUGGUCAUUAUAUUAGUCGUUUUAAUAGUUAAUGUGAAAUCCUUUUAUUACAAAGGUUGUAAAAUCGACGCUGACUGUGCUGGAUGUCGUUGUGUUAACAGAUUAUCUUGCUUCUGUUAUGGAUAAGCUACCAACAUACAUAAAACAUAUAUUUUUUUUGUAGUUUUUACCUACAUAUUAAGGAACCAAGCAAGAAAUGGAACCCUUUGAGGUUUUCAGAAUAAUGGUUAAAAUGUUAUUAAAAACCAAAUAAAUGUGUGAGAAUAUUA